GGUAAGGCUAAAUACUCCUGAGAGACCGAUAGUGAACAAGUACCGUGAGGGAAAGGUGAAAAGCACCUCGAAUAGAGGAGUGAAAUAGUACCUGAAACCAUACGCUUACAAGCGGUCGGAGCACCUUCGUGGUGUGACGGCGUGCCUUUUGCAUAAUGAGCCUACGAGUUACUCCUCACUAGCAAGGUUAAGGUCUUCAGGACCGGAGCCGAAGCGAAAGCGAGUCUGAAUAGGGCGAAAAAGUUAGUGGGGGUAGACGCGAAACUUGGUGAUCUACCCAUGGUCAGGCUGAAGCUCUGUUAAUCCAGAGUGGAGGGCCCAACCCGUUGACGUUGAAAAGUCUUGGGAUGAACUGUGGGUAGGGGUGAAAGGCCAAUCAAACUGAGAAAUAGCUCGUACUCCCCGAAAUGCAUUUAGGUGCAGCGUCAGAGUAAAGAGUUAUAGAGGUAGAGCUACUGAUUGGAUGCGAGGGCUUCAUCGCCUAUCAAAUCCAGACAAACUCCGAAUGCUAUAACUUAUAUCUGGCAGUGAGCCCGUGGGUGCUAAGGUCCACGGACGAGAGGGAAAGAACCCAGACCAUCAGCUAAGGUCCCCAAAUGUAUGCUAAGUUGAACAAACGUGGUAAGAUUGCAUAGACAGCUAGGAUGUUGGCUUGGAAGCAGCCAUUCAUUUAAAGAGUGCGUAACAGCUCACUAGUCGAGCGAUCUUGCGUGGAUGAUAAUCGGGCAUAAGUAUACUACCGAAGCUAUGGACUUCUGUUGAAAGAUACAGAAUUGGUAGGGGAGCAUUCUAAACAGCGUAGAAGGUGUGUGGUAAUGCAUGCUGGAGCGUUUAGAAAAGCAAAUGUAGGCAUAAGUAACGAUAAUGCGGGUGAGAAACCCGCACGCCAAUAGACUAAGGUUUCCUGAUCAACGCUAAUCGGAUCAGGGUAAGUCGGGACCUAAGGUUAACCCGAAAGGGGAUAUCGAUGGACAACCGGUUAAUAUUCCGGUACCCGCUAUAACUGCGAUGGGGUGACGAAGAGAUGACAACGCCGCGAACUGACGGAAUAGUUCGUUGAAGGCCGUAUGCUAUGAGAGAUGUAGGCAAAUCCGCAUCUUGAGCUGAAAGCUGAUAGUACCGCAAGGCUUCGGCCGCGUGGAUAGUGCGUGUAAUUUGACUUCCAAGAAAAACCUCUAAGCUUCAGGUUAUAGUGGCCCGUACCUCAAACCGACACAGGUAGUCAAGUAGAGUAUACUAAGGCGCUCGAGUGAUUCAUGGCUAAGGAACUCGGCAAAAUAACUCCGUAACUUCGGGAGAAGGAGUGCUCACAGCAAUGUGAGCCGCAGUGAAAUGGCCCAGGCGACUGUUUAUCAAAAACACAUGGCUUUGCAAAAACGAAAGUUGAAGUAUAAGGCCUGACACCUGCCCGGUGCCGGAAGGUUAAGUGGAGAUGUUAUUUUUCGGAAGAAGCAUUGAAAUGAAGCCCCGGUAAACGGCGGCCGUAACUAUAACGGUCCUAAGGUAGCGAAAUUCCUUGUCGGGUAAGUUCCGACCUGCACGAAUGGUGUAACGAUCUGGGCACUGUCUCAGCCAUGAGCUCGGUGAAAUUGUAGUAUCGGUGAAGAUGCCGAUUACCCGCAACGGGACGGAAAGACCCCGUGCACCUUUACUGCAGCUUCACAUUGAUUUUGGGUAAGUAAUGUGUAGGAUAGGACGGAGACUAUGAAGCGGGUCCGCUAGGAUUUGUGGAGUCAACCUUGAAAUACGUCCCUUUGCUUAUCUGGAGUCUAACGUCUGACGACGGACAGUGUGUGGUGGGUAGUUUGACUGGGGUGGUCGCCUCCAAAAGAGUAACGGAGGCUUCUAAAGGUACCCUCAAUACGUUUGGUAAUCGUGUGAAGAGUGCAAUGGCACAAGGGUGCUUGACUGUGAGACCUACAAGUCGAUCAGGUACGAAAGUAGAGCAUAGUGAUCCGGUGGUUCCGUAUGGAAGGGCCAUCGCUCAAAGGAUAAAAGGUACGCCGGGGAUAACAGGCUGAUCGCUCCCAAGAGCUCAUAUCGACGGAGCGGUUUGGCACCUCGAUGUCGGCUCGUCACAUCCUGGGGCUGGAGAAGGUCCCAAGGGUUGGGCUGUUCGCCCAUUAAAGUGGCACGCGAGCUGGGUUCAGAACGUCGUGAGACAGUUCGGUCCCUAUCUGUUGUGGGCGUU
rnacentral:rRNA from 1 species